GGCCCAAUGGUUUAGUGGCAUGAUUCUCCCAUAGGGUGGAAGAGGUCCUGGAUUCGAUUGCUAGUUGUGCCC